rnacentral:lncRNA from 1 species
AGGAUCCUUUCCCAGUCCACUCCACACUGGAGACUGUGACCUUGGCCAGUCUUAGCCUCUCCCCGCUAGACUGAAUGGCAGCCCGAGACCAAGGCCUGGUUGCCGCAGCUUUGAUACUAAUCCUCCCAGACUGUGCACAAUGGCACCCUACCUGGCCUGCAAACUAUAGCCAGCCAGGCUGUCUUUGAAGCAGGUGAUGAAUAGGGGACGGCAGGAAGCCAGCUUCCCCAGUGAACUCCAGGCCACACAGCUGCUAAGAACAGUCACUUGGAUUUUUCUUCAGUUUUGGUGGAUUUCA